rnacentral:rRNA from 1 species
UAUGUACGGAGGGGAUAAGCGCUGAAAGCAUCUAAGCGCGAAGCCCCCCUCAAGAUGAGAUUUCCCAGUAUGUAAGACCCCUUGUAGACGACGAGGUUGAUAGGUUCGAGGUGGAAGUGCGGCAACGCAUGCAGCUGACGAAUACUAAUCGGUCGAGGGCUUAACCAAUAAACC